GGAGAGGCUGUAGCUCAGUGGCGCAGCAUCGGCUUUGCAUGCAGAAGGUCCCAGGUUCAAUCCCCGGCAUCUCCA